rnacentral:ncRNA from 1 species
UACCUGGUUGAUCCUGUCAGUAGUCAUAUGCUUGUCUCAAAGAUUAAGCCAUGCAUGUCUAAGUACAUGCCGUAUUAAGGCGAAACCGCGAAUGGCUCAUUAAAUCAGUUAUGGUUCCUUGGAUCGUACCUUACUACUUGGAUAACUGUGGCAAUUCUAGAGCUAAUACAUGCAGCAGAGCUCCGACCCUCUGGGGACGAGCGCUUUUAUUAGACCAAAACCAAUCGGACCUCGUGUCCGUAUUAUGUGGUGACUCUGUAUAACUUUGGGCUGAUCGCACGGGCUCGUCCCGGCGACGUAUCUUUCAAGUGUCUGCCUUAUCAACUGUCGAUCGUAGGUUACGUGCCUACCAUGGUCGUAACGGGUGACGGGGAAUCAGGGUUCGAUUCCGGAGAGGGAGCCUGAGAAACGGCUACCACAUCCAAGGAAGGCAGCAGGCCCGCAAAUUACCCACUCCCAGAACGGAAAGGUAGUGACGAAAAAUAACAAUACGGGACUCUUUUGAGACCCCGCAAUUGGAAUGAGUACACUCUAAAUCCUUUAACGAGGAUCAAUUGGUUGUGGCAAUUAUAGAAAACAUUUCUGAGUAACUAAGUUCUCAAGAAGAUAUUAACUUGUUUCAUAAAUCACUGUCUCAAGAUUAUAC